rnacentral:misc_RNA from 1 species
GAUGAAGAACGUAGCGAAAUGCGAUAAGUAAUGUGAAUUGCAGAAUUCAGUGAAUCAUCGAAUCUUUGAACGCACCUUGCGCCCUCUGGUAUUCCGGAGGGCAUGCCUGUUUGAGUGUCAUGAACACCUCACCCCCUCGGGUUUCCGAUCGGGUGGAUUUGGGUGCUGCCAGUUACAUGGCUCGCCUUAAACGCAUUAGCGGUUGUUGACGUAAUAAGUUUCGUCUUGUCGACCGCUCCUAAUCUCCCUUCGGGAUGUCUUUUAGACACUUCAUGAUCUGACCUCAAAUCAGGUAGGACUACCCGCUGAACUUAAGCAUAUCAAUAAGCGGAGGA